rnacentral:tRNA from 2 species
GCCGUUGUAGCUCAGUCGGUAGAGCAUUUCCAUGGUAAGGAAAAGGUCACCGGUUCGAUUCCGGUCAACGGCU